CCACAUACUUUGAGCUCGGCAGUCAGACUACGAAUGAUAAGAUCCGUGGUCAAAAGGGAAACAGCCCAGAUCGUCAGCUAAGGUCCCAAAGUGUAAGUUAAGUGGGAAAGGAUGUGAGAUUUCUAAGACAACUAGGAUGUUGGCUUAGAAGCAGCCAUUCAUUAAAAGAGUGCGUAAUAGCUCACUAGUCGAGAGAUCUUGCGCCGAAAAUGUAACGGGGCUAAACUUACCACCGAAGCUACGGGCUUGAACUAAGUUCAAGCGGUAGGAGAGCGUCGUAACCGGGCUGAAGUCGUACCGUAAGGAGCGGUGGACUGGUUACGAGUGAGAAUGUUGGCAUCAGUAGCGAGAUGUGGGUGAGAAUCCCACAGGCCGAAAACCUAAGGUUUCCUCAGGAAGGUUCGUCCGCUGAGGGUU
rnacentral:rRNA from 1 species